ACCUGAUCCAGCAAUGCCGCGUGAGUGAUGAAGGCCUUAGGGUUGUAAAGCUCUUUCGGCGGGGACGAUGAUGACGGUACCCGCAGAAGAAGCCCCGGCUAACUCCGUGCCAGCAGCCGCGGUAAUACGGAGGGGGCUAGCGUUGUUCGGAAUUACUGGGCGUAAAGGGCGCGCAGGCGGCUGCUCAAGUCAGGCGUGAAAGGCCUGGGCUCAACCCGGGAAUUGCGCUUGAGACUGAGCUGGCUUGAGUGCGGGAGAGGAUGGUGGAAUUCCCAGUGUAGAGGUGAAAUUCGUAGAUAUUGGGAAGAACACCGGUGGCGAAGGCGGCCAUCUGGACCGUAACUGACGCUGAGGCGCGAAAGCGUGGGGAGCAAACAGGAUUAGAUACCCUGGUAGUCCACGCCGUAAACGAUGAGUGCUAGACGUUGGGAGGCACAGCCUUCCGGUGUCGCAGCUAACGCAUUAAGCACUCCGCCUGGGGAGUACGGCCGCAAGGUUA
rnacentral:rRNA from 1 species